UGAUAUAGAUGCUUUGUGUGUUGCCCCACGUCACAUUGAAAGAACUGACUUUUUUUCAUCCUUCUUUGAAAAACUAAAACGGCAUGAUGAGAUUAAGGAUCUACGAGCUGUGGAGGAUGCAUUUGUACCAGUCAUCAAGUUCAAGUUUGAUGGAAUUGAGAUCGAUCUGCUGUUUGCCAGGCUCGCUCUA